UACGUAGGGGGCAAGCGUUGUCCGGAUUUACUGGGCGUAAAGCGCGUGUAGGCAGAAGCGCAAGUCCGGUGUGAAAGCCCCCGGCUCAACCGGGGAAGGUCGCUGGAAACUGCGCUUCUUGAGGACGACAGGGGGAAGUGGAAUUGCUGGUGUAGCAGUGAAAUGCGUAGAGAUCGGGAGGAACAUCUGUGGCGAAGGCGGCCAUCUGGACCAGCACUGACACUGAGGCACGAAAGCGUGGGGAGCAAACAGG
rnacentral:rRNA from 1 species